rnacentral:rRNA from 1 species
CCUACGGGAGGCAGCAGUGAGGAAUAUUGGUCAAUGGGCGUAAGCCUGAACCAGCCAAGUCGCGUGAGGGAUGAAGGUUCUAUGGAUCGUAAACCUCUUUUAUACGGGAAUAAAGUGCGGGACGUGUCCCGUUUUGUAUGUACCUUAUGAAUAAGGAUCGGCUAACUCCGUUCCAGCAGCCGCGGUAAUACGGAGGAUCCGAGCGUUAUCCGGAUUUAUUGGGUUUAAAGGGUGCGUAGGCGGGCUUUUAAGUUAGAGGUGAAAGUCUGGGGCUCAACCAUAGAAUUGCCGUUGAAACUGGGAGGAGUGAGUAUGGUAGAGGCAGGCGGAAUGCGUGGUGUAGCGGUGAAAGGCUGAGAUA